AAAAUAGUAUCAUGACUAAAGGCUGAAGGGAAUGGUUCAGAAAAGAGAGGGAGGAAUGAGACUUUCUGCAGACACGUUCUUAUCCUUGAACAGGUUGACCAUCUGUGAGUGACUUCUGAUGGCCUUGCCUGCAAGCACGCAUGUGGCCUUAUUCCUGUGUCUAGCAGUUGGCGCUGGCCCUGUACUGGGGUGCUCCUGUUGUCCUCCACCUUGUUUCACUUCCUCUGGACCCUAAAACGGACACUUAAUCCUUAUGUUCCCAAAUCUGGCUGUACUUCAGGCCAUACCUGGCGAAUUCUUUAAAAAACAGGGAUUGGUUCCCAGGCACUCCAAAUAGAAGUUUACAAAGCUCCCAUAAGUGGCCAUGAUGAGCUGCUAAGUUUGAAAAACAAGGAUUGAACCUAUCUGGCCUCAUUUUCCUCAUCUGGAAAACAACUGGUUCUGCUAAGAUAAAACAUCUUAAUCACAAGAUGUCAUUAAGAUCAACUGUGAUAAACUGCAAAGUAUUCUAACAAAGAAGAGCCUUUAUAUGACUAUGCAAGGUAGGACAAGAAUUGAAGGGACCAAACAGUCCUGCAAGAAAGAACAAACACUCAAUGUCACAACCCAAGUGCUUUUCUAUGGCACAUACAUGACCCAUCAAAUUCUAAGAUUUCAAUAAAUCUGAACGUUUUCUGAACAAAUCAACUCAUCUCUUUGCCUAUAAAUCUCCUACAUCUCCUUUCUGCUA